CUCACUGCUCCAGGGCGGGUAGGCUGAGAUAACGCGCUACCUUCCUGAACUCCUCAGCUAUUGGUCAUUUUUAUGGUCACGUAACCCAGAGGUUCCGCAGUGCCACCUGGGAGAUUGUAGUCCUGAGUCUAAACGCGCUAAGGCUACGGUGGCGCUGCUGCCGUGUAUACUAUGGCCAGUUUGCAAGAUGUGAGGGAAACUUGUGCUUUAAAAUACUACAAGGGUGCUGGAGACCUGGCUAGGUUGUUGAGGGCACCAGUUGCUCUUGCAAAGGACCUGGUUCAAGUCCCAGUACCCACAUUGUGGCUCACCAUCUGUAACUGCAGCUCCAGAGAAUCCAUGCCCUCCUCUGUCCCCCCCACCCAGCGCCGACAUGGUGCACAAACAUAAAAUCUUGCAGACAAAACAUUGACACUAAAAAGACUUGCACAGUUGGACACAUCAAGACAGAGACAGAAGGAUCUUGAUUCGGUAAACCAGUCACAUCGGAGUCCUGGAAAUAACAAGGGUUGAGCACAGAAACCGGCUUUCCCAGACUGCGUUUGUCUGUCUUCUGUAGUGGGCGCCUGUAGUCUCCUCUACAACGUUAACACUAGGUGGCGCUCUGAACCCAGAGAGAAAGAUAUUUCUGGACCAACAGAUACUGUGCCUCAGUGGUGGUUGGAGCUCAAAGGAGCUAGCAGAGUCCACAAGCUUUUCAAUCUUUCUGAAGAAGAAGACAUCCCCAAAUGUUUUCAGAAAGCCCUUAAACAGAAAAGAUAAGAAGCCUAGAACCAAAACACCCAUGAUUCAGCAUCUUGUUACUCCACAUUGUUCUGAAGAAACAGUGCACUAAGAAAAUGAGCAGGGGCUGGAGAGAUGGCUCAGGAGUUAAGAGCACUGACUGCUCUUCCAGAGGACCUGGGUUCAAUUCCCAGCACCUGCAUAGCAGUUCACUACUGUCUAUAACUCCUAUUCCAGGGGCUCUGACACCUUCACACCAAUGGAAAUUAAAUGAAUAUUUAAAAAAGAAAAGAAAAUGAGGAGGCUGUAGAUAUGUUCAACUUUUGGCCAAGAGUCUGAAAGAAGCCAAAGAAAAAUGCCAGAAACACAUGUAGGCUGUCCUCGCUGAGAGUGUCUACUUCUAAAUCUUAGUCCAGUCAAAAAUAAGUCUUUUUUUGUUUGUUUGUUUUUUGUUUUCUCUGUGUAGCUUUGUGCCUUUCUUGGAACU